rnacentral:ncRNA from 1 species
UUAAAGUUUUAUUCUUGCUUAUUAAUUUAUUAUAACAAUAUUGUAUAUGUAUGUUUUUGCGUUUAAUAUACACUAUUUAUUCUUAAUGUAUAAAUAGUCUUGAAAAUUUGUCGCAGUAUAAAAUGUUAUAAAUUUAAGUAAUUAUGAUUUAGUAAUUGUUAUUAAAUAUUGAUUAACCAUGUGCCAGCAAUCGCGGUUAUACAUGAAAUGUAAGUAAAUUAUUUCAGUUAAAAUAGUUAAUUGUUUUGAUUUAUGAAUUUAUAUUGAUUAUUAUUGGGUGAAAUAUUUAAUUUUUGUUUAUGAUUUGAAUUGAAUUAAAUGAAGCUAUGAAAUCUAAAAUAUUUAAACUAGGAUUAGAUACCCUAUUAUUUUAGAUGUAAAAUAUUUAAACUUGAGUAGUAGUAGAAUAAGGUCUUGAAACUUAAAGAAUUUGGCGGUAUUUUAGUCUAUUUAGAGGAAUCUGUCCCGUAAUCGAUAAUCCGCGUUGGACCUUACUUAAAUUAAGUGAAUAUGUAUACCGCUGUUGUUGAAAAUCUUUUUAGAGUUAAUUUUUUUAAUAUUUGUUAAAUAAUUUUUCAGGUCAAGGUGCAGUUUAUGUUUAAGUGGAGAUGGAUUACAAUAUUUAUUGAAUAUACGGAUUAUUGUUUGAAAUUAAUGAUAUAAAGGUGGAUUUAAUAGUAAUAUUAUGAAGAUUGUUAAUAUGAUUAUAGCUCUAAAAUAUGUACACAUCGCCCGUCGCUCUCGUUAUAUUUAAGGUGAGAUAAGUCGUAACAUAGUAGUUGUACCGGAAGGUGUAACUAGAAUGAUA